GCGUGUGCGGCGUAGGGAGGAGAGUGGCCGAAGACAGCCAAUCCAUCGACAUGGAGUUCUUGUGGAAGAGAAGAGAGAGAGCGAGAUAAGGUCAAGUCAGUUGGAAGAAUCAGGCAACACAGGCCGCUCCCGUGCACCCGCGCAUGUACUUGAUCGACGCAGCACUAUGAACGAGAGGAGUCUACAUCAGAUUCGGAAGGUGGAACUCGUAGGGGAUGAGGUGAUGUGCAUCAAAGCGAACCUGAAAAGGUCGCAGGGAAAGAAUUAGUACACAGGACGUGCUCCCGCACCGGCUCCCGCACCUGCUCCCGCAUCGGACGUGCUCGGCGGUGCUUCGUCUUUGGCUGAGCUCGACGCCCUCACGGCCGACGAAACCCCGUGCACCAUAUUGUACACCAUCAGCGACCAG